CCAAUAGCGUAUAUUAAAGUUGCUGCAGUUAAAAAGCUCGUAGUUGAAUUUCGGGACUAAUAUGUCGGUCGUGCCUCGGUACGUACUGGUAUUUUUGGUUUCUCCCUUCUGACGAACCUUGAUGUCAUUAAUUUGGUGUCUUGGGAAAUCAGGACUGUUACUUUGAAAAAAUUAGAGUGUUUAAAGCAGGCUCACGCUUGAAUACAUUAGCAUGGAAUAAUGAAAUAGGACGUUUGAUUCUAUUUUGUUGGUUUCUAGGAUCGACGUAAUGAUUAAGAGGGAUAGUUGGGGGCAUUAGUAUUCAAUUGUCAGAGGUGAAAUUCUUGGAUUUAUUGAAGACUAACUACUGCGAAAGCAUUUGCCAAGGAUGUUUUCAUUAAUCAAGAACGAAAGUUAGGGGAUCGAAGACGAUCAGAUACCGUCGUAGUCUUAACCAUAAACUAUGCCGACUAGGGAUCGGAUAAUGUUAAUUUUUUAAUGACUCAUUCGGCGCCUUACG
rnacentral:rRNA from 1 species